AAUGCGGAGGGAUCAUUA
rnacentral:rRNA from 1 species